rnacentral:rRNA from 1 species
AGUCGAGCGAUCGAUGGGAGCUUGCUCCCUGAGAUUAGCAGCGGACGGGUGAGUAACACGUGGGCAACCUGCCUAUAAGACUGGGAUAACUUCGGGAAACCGGAGCUAAUACCGGAUACGUUCUUUUCUCGCAUGAGAGAAGGUGGAAAGACGGUUUCGGCUGUCACUUAUAGAUGGGCCCGCGGCGCAUUAGCUAGUUGGUGAGGUAAUGGCUCACCAAGGCGACGAUGCGUAGCCGACCUGAGAGGGUGAUCGGCCACACUGGGACUGAGACACGGCCCAGACUCCUACGGGAGGCAGCAGUAGGGAAUCUUCCGCAAUGGACGAAAGUCUGACGGAGCAACGCCGCGUGAACGAAGAAGGCCUUCGGGUCGUAAAGUUCUGUUGUUAGGGAAGAACAAGUACCAGAGUAACUGCUGGUACCUUGACGGUACCUAACCAGAAAGCCACGGCUAACUACGUGCCAGCAGCCGCGGUAAUACGUAGGUGGCAAGCGUUGUCCGGAAUUAUUGGGCGUAAAGCGCGCGCAGGUGGUUCUUUAAGUCUGAUGUGAAAGCCCACGGCUCAACCGUGGAGGGUCAUUGGAAACUGGGGAACUUGAGUGCAGAAGAGGAAAGUGGAAUUCCAAGUGUAGCGGUGAAAUGCGUAGAGAUUUGGAGGAACACCAGUGGCGAAGGCGACUUUCUGGUCUGUAACUGACACUGACGCGCGAAAGCGUGGGGAGCA